AGAGCGCCGCCGCCCGGGCCGAGCCGGGGCUCUAGAUGGAGGGCCGAGCACAACAAUGGCAGCGGCCGCGUCCUGCCAGCGCCCGGGCACGCCCUUGCGCGGGGGGCUCCGCGUGAGACGGCGUCCGGGGUGGGGGGGAGGCUGGGUGCGGACGCGGCCAUUUGGAGAGGAUGCCCGCGCGGCGGUGCCCGCGCCCCGGGGGCCUCCUGCAGCCCCGGGCGGCGCGGCGCCCGCCUAGGUGGCAUCCCCGACGCCAGCCGAAACCGUAGGCGGCUCCCCCGCCCCUCCCCACGCGGCUCCCGAACCCCUUCGUGGCCGGCCCCGCCUCACACACAAAAUGGCUGAGGUGCCCAGCUUUUUGGAUCCUUCCACCUCCGGGAAGCGGGAGAGGGCCAGGAGCGGCACAGCCCUCGGGGGCACCCUUGAGUGUGCGCCCCGGAUCUCCCUUUGCUGGGCCCCGCGGUGACAUCGCUGGGGUGUUGUUGUUGUUGUUGUUUUCUUUUAAUCGUCUUGAAAAGAACAUCAGUCCUCAGGGAUUUCCUUGACUGUAAUGUGAACUUGGGCUUUACAUAUUUAUAAGGCCUUUCACCUGCCUUGGUUUUCAGAUUGAGUGGGCUGGGAAACUUGAUUCUAGUUGGGAGCUGAGUGGCCUCGUUGCCAACAGGCUUUUCUAAUAGAGACAGUCUGGAAAUGAGACGUAAAAAUAAAAAAAUGUUAGAGGAACCUAACGCUUGUGAUUGCACACUCAAAGUCCCGGAAGUCGGCUAAUAUCACAGUGUUUCAAAUGCAUAGAUGUGUGAACUGAACGCAUUCACUGUACAGUUGAUUCCCUGCCAGCCAAAUUCUAAUGAGCCGAGGAUGGAAGAAGAUACUAAAGGAUGAAAAAGGGGGUGGAGGAUUGCCUACGUUCUUCAAGACCCCCUCCCAACACACACACAGAGAGGUCUGGUAUACUUGCAUAGUAUUUAAUAGGUAGUGACCUUAAAAAACGAUAACUAGGGUUACCGUAUCAGUCAAUGUGGACAACAGGAGUGUGACAGUUAGACAGCAGGCCCUCCAUUCUAACAGGACAGUUAGAAUGGAGGGCCUGCCUCAGUAAACCGGGGCAGGGCCGCCUUUAAAUAGACGAGGCAGACUCCCUCUCCAGCCUCUGCAUUUCCCACUGUUCCACAGUCGACUGAAGUAGGUGGCAGGGAUAGGCCUAGAUUCACAAAUGUUUACCAGGCAGACAAGGUAAGAAAACGAUAGGAACAGACACGUAUGAACCAAUGCAGUUAGGUCCUUUUUUUGUUCACAUAGGCCUGAGCACUUUGUAAGGUAUGCAUCCUUUUUAAAGUAUUUCAUACUUUCUGAUGAAGUAGUUUGCUUUCCAGUGUUUGAAGCCAUAUUCAUGAUAUACACAAAUAGGUUUGUUUUUUUCCCCGAGUGUGUGAAGGCAAAUUGUAGGAGAAAGUGUAGAGAAGUUCUGAGAGGAGAAUAAGUUUGAGGCUGUUGAUUACAGUUCUUGAGAACGUAGCAUUUGCAGUUCACAGCAGUUGCUCACAGGUAAUAGUGAAUAAGCAGAGGCUUAGUUCCCAUUUCAUGGAACUUACAACCCAGAGGCAAGACAGACAAGUAGCAAGCUAACAAGCACAGGUCUGAAAAUGGCACCUGCCCUCUACCAAGCCCAGUUGGCUAAAGCACGCCCAGAGGAAGGCAGAUGGCAUCCGAUUUGGCCAGAGGUGCAGGUAAGAUUGUUACUAGGACGACUAGGUGUGUAAGUAGGAGUACCCUGGAACUCUGUGUUUGAGCAGUGAGUAAGACAGUGACUGAGACGGCAUGCACGGAGGUUUUGGUGGCGGUAAACCCCACAGAAAUGGGUGAAACAGUAAAUAAAACCAGGAUGCAAAUUUCCAAUUCACACAGCUACAUUACGGAGAUUGUGAGAGCCAGUGAUGAUGGUUUAGCUAAUUAUAAAUAUGAACAAGACAAAGCAUAUCACACUAGUAACAUUUUCAAAAAGUAGCAAUGCAGACAACUGAUUGCCUUGAUUUCUUGUGCCCAUCUGUGCUUUGCUUGUCUCCUUAAGCAGCUCUGGCCUAGCUUGCUUCAGUGCUUUAAAAUUCUUAUUUUUUGUUUUUUCUCUUAAAAAUCAGGUGCGGUGGCACAUGCCUUUUAUCCCAGCUCUCAGGAGGCAGAAGCAGGCAGAUCUCAAAGGCCAGCCUGGUCUACAGAGCAAGUUCCGUGACAGCCAGGGCUACAAAGAGAAACCUUGUCUGGAAAACAAAACAAAAACAAAAAAAAUCUUACUCAGUUGAAAAAAAUCAAUAUCUUCUGUUGUUAUAACUGAUGCUAAACAUUGUUGAAGCUAGAAUUUAGAAUAGCUAAUUAAAAUAAAUUUUUUUCAAUUUGAUAUUUGGCUUUUAGCAAACCAAAUUUCUGUCCAUGAGCAGAAACAGCACGUUUAACUCCUUAAACCUACGACCUUCAUUGUUCUAUCAAAUCAGUGACACGGUCCCUCAGUGCUCCCAGGAACCAGCAUCUUCAGAGACUUCCAACUGUGAGCCAAUUGGCUCAUUACCCAAACCAGUGUUGUAUGACACAGUUUUCACCAAAGGAACGUAGCUGAAAUUUGUCGGGUACGAUUCACAAGUCAAGUAAAGAGCGCUGACUAGACGCUUAAGCUCUAGGAUACAUGACCUCCAUCGUGGCUUCCCUCUAUCAGUGACUGAUACUCAAUAGCCUUAAAAGUCCUCAGGCAUGGUGGCUGGCUCCUUCUCUACUAAGCUCAUGCUGUGAUUGCUUCAGACAUGCCAUUGGACAGGCAUCCCUCAGCUGUAACAGUCAUCCUGGAGCUACAUCAACAGCCUUGUACGCCAGUGUGCACGGAACGCAAGGGUUAAGCGUGGUCCUCAGGGACCUUGGAUCCACAGCUCUGAUGAUUCGUAGCGCUUUUCGUCCUUUCCACACUGUUGGAGGUUGGUCUAAUGCUAAAUACUGGCCCUGAAGAUCUGGUUACUGCCUGCCGAAAUACCCAUCCUUGUUUGUGUAAACCUAAGACAUACCUGACUGGUUGAUUAAACAGCCUAUGGCUGGGCAGGGCAGAAUGGGAUAGGCAUGGCUAGGGUUCCCUGGGAUUUGGAGAAUGACGGAGAAACAGAUGGACAGGAGGAAAGAAAGAAGGAGGGCGCCACAAUGUGUUAGCCUGGAGAAAACAAACAAACAAACACAUGGGCCAGGAUGAAGGACUCCCAAUAAUGGUGUGAAAAGCCCAGAUGAAGAAUACAAGCAAGUACCAUGAACUUACGGAUGAAGGGUAGAUCAGAUGAAGAUUAAGGCAGAUGGCACUGGAUGGGGCUGGGAAAUGGAUGGUGAGGUUACUCAGACAGUGUAGGUGAAACACCUGCCCAGCCCAAGGUAAAUAAGGCAAUUAUAACUC